GUGGGUCUAAAAAUGAGAACUGAAAUGCUAAGUUAGCUACAGAAAAUCACACAGGAGAAGAUAUUCUUGUCCAAUAAUGCAUGACAUCUGUGACCAAUGAAUGGUGGUGAGAUGAGUUAUAUUGCCGUCAAGGAGUAUAUAUAUAUAUGCUCAAUUGCUCAUGUAGUCAUAUGCCUAACACCUUCUUGUGUGGCCCUCUGCAGGUUUCAAAGCAAGUUGCAUUUAGUACGCUUCAACUCUGGCUGUGCCUGCGUCUCUUUUUUCACUCAUCUCACGUGAAUCAUGAUUGAUGCACUAUACUUUCCUUUUUGGUCCACACUCCACAUCAAAGAUAUGCUUUGGAGUCUAAGCACUUAUCCUAUUUUGUUGUACCA
rnacentral:lncRNA from 1 species